rnacentral:rRNA from 1 species
UACGAAGGGGGCUAGCGUUGUCCGGAAUCAUUGGGCGUAAAGAGCGUGUAGGCGGCCCGAUAAGUCCGCCGUGAAAGUCCAGGGCUCAACCCUGGGAUGCCGGUGGAAACUGUCGGGCUAGAGUCCGGAAGAGGCGAGUGGGAUUCCUGGUGUAGCGGUGAAAUGCGCAGAUAUCAGGAGGAACACCAAUGGCGAAGGCAGCUCGCUGGGACGGUACUGACGCUGAGACGCGAAAGCGUGGGGAGCAAACAGG